rnacentral:rRNA from 1 species
GUGGGGAAUUUUGGACAAUGGGCGCAAGCCUGAUCCAGCAAUGCCGCGUGCAGGAAGAAGGCCUUCGGGUUGUAAACUGCUUUUGUACGGAACGAAACGGUCCUGGUUAAUACCUGGGGCUAAUGACGGUACCGUAAGAAUAAGCACCGGCUAACUACGUGCCAGCAGCCGCGGUAAUACGUAGGGUGCGAGCGUUAAUCGGAAUUACUGGGCGUAAAGCGUGCGCAGGCGGUGCUGUAAGACAGGCGUGAAAUGCCCGGGCUCAACCUGGGAAUUGCGCUUGUGACUGCAGUGCUGGAGUACGGCAGAGGGGGAUGGAAUUCCGCGUGUAGCAGUGAAAUGCGUAGAUAUGCGGAGGAACACCGAUGGCGAAGGCAGUCCCCUGGGCCUGUACUGACGCUCAUGCACGAAAGCGUGGGGAGCAAACAGGAUUAGAUACCCUUGUAGUCC